GGAGAGGUGGCAGAGUGGUCGAAUGCGCUCGACUUGAAAUCGAGUGUCUCGAAAGAGACCGUGGGUUCGAAUCCCACCCUCUCCG
rnacentral:tRNA from 4 species